GCCAUCAUUCAGUUGGGCACUCUAGCGAGACUGCCGGUAAUAAACCGGAGGAAGGUGGGGAGUGACGUCAAAUCAUCAUGCCCCUUACUGACCUGGGCGUACACACGUGCUACAAUGGUUGGUACAACGAGUUGCGAGUCGGUGACGGCGAGCUAAUCUCUUAAAGCCAAUCUCAGUUCGGAUUGUAGGCUGCAACUCGCCUACAUGAAGUCGGAAUCGCUAGUAAUCGCGGAUCAGCACGCCGCGGUGAAUACGUUCCCGGGCCUU
rnacentral:rRNA from 1 species